rnacentral:piRNA from 1 species
UACCUGUAGUCCCUGCAUACCAAGA